rnacentral:rRNA from 1 species
UACGGGGGGGGCAAGCGUUGUUCGGAAUUACUGGGCGUAAAGGGCUCGUAGGUGGCCAACUAAGUCGGACGUGAAAUCCCUCAGCUUAACUCGGAAACUGCCGUGGAUACUAUCAAUCUUGAAUAUCGUGGAGGUAAGCGGAAUAUGUCAUGUAGCGGUGAAAUGCUUAGAUAUGACAUAGAACACCAAUUGCGUAGGCAGCUUACUACACGAUCAUUGACGCUGAGGCACGAAAGCGUGGGGAGCAAACAGG